CAAGGGGUGCAAGAGUGAUCCAGGAAUGGAUCACUAGACAGUGGUCAAAGUUAUCCUUAGUAACUAGUGGACUAAGGAAAUUUUCUCGAUUAUGGAGGUGAUUAAAGAGUUCGUCGCAAAGGGGUUACGUCGAUGCAAGCUUUGUCACUAAUCCGGAUGACUAUGUGUAGUAAACCGGAUUCGUAUAGUGGAGCUGUCAUUUGGAAUAGUUCCAAAUGGUGCAUGGUAGCAGUAUCUAUAUGAACACGUAGAGAUUUGUAAACCACACACAGAUCUGAAAGGUUCAGACUCAUUGACUAAUAAACCUCUCUCACAAGCAAGACAUGAACGAACCCCAGAAUUGUAUGGGUGUUGGAUUCAUUGCAAUCACAUAGUGAUGUGAACUAGAUAAAUGACUCUAGUGCAAGUGGGAGACUUUUGGAAAUAUUCCCUAGAGGCAAUAAGAAAUUGGUUAUUAUUAUAUUUCCUAGUUCAUGAUAAUUGUCUAUUAUUCAUGCUAUAACUGUAUUAACCAGAAACCAUAAUACAUGUGUGAAUAUAUAGAUCACAAUGUGUCCCUAGUAAGCCUCUAGUUGGCUAGCUCAUUGAUCAAUAGAUGAUCAUGGUUUCUUGAUCAUGGACAUUGGAUGUCAUUGAUAACGGGAUCACAUCAUUGGGGAAUGAUGUGAUGGACAAGACCCAAUCCUAAGCAUAGCACUAGAUCGUGUUGUUCGUCUGCUAAAGCUUUUCUAAUGUCAAGUAUCAUUUCCUUAGACCGUGAGAUUGUGCAACUCCCGGAUACCGUAGGAGUGCUUUGGGUGUACCAAACGUCACAACGUAACUGAGUGAUUAUAAAGGUGCACUACAGGUAUAUGCGAAAGUGUCUGUUGAGUUGUACGAAUCGAGACCAGGAUUUAUCACUCCGUGUGACGGAGAGGUAUCUCUGGGCCCACUCGAUAAUCCAUCAUCAUAUUGAGCUCAGUGUGACUAAGGGGUUAGCCACGAGAUGAUGUGUUACGGAACGAGUAAAGAGACUUGCCGGUAACGAGAUUGAACAAGGUAUAGGGAUACCGAUGAUCGGAUCUCGGGCUAGUAUCAUACCGAUAGACAAAGGGAAUUGCAUACCUGAUUGAUUGAAUCCUUGACAUCAUGGUUCAUCCAAUGAGAUCAUCGUGGAACAUGUGGGAACCAACAUGGAUAUCCAGACCGUGCUGUUGGUUAUUGGCCGGAGAGAUGUCUCGGUCAUGUCUUGUAAUGCCCAAGAUGCGAUCCUAUCCUUAUUUUGGCACGAAGGCCUCGACAGGGAUAGAAGCGCAUCUCGUCGUUUGGCAAGAAUGGAUAUCGUUACAAGUACAUGUACUGAAGAGAAGAGUAUAUGGAAUUGGCUUACACUCACCACAAGCUACAUCAGAGUCACAUCAGUACAAUACAUAAA
rnacentral:lncRNA from 1 species